rnacentral:rRNA from 1 species
AGGAUAGAGGCCUACCAUGGUGGUAACGGGUAACGGGGUGUUAGGGCACGACACCGGAGAGGGAGCCUGAGGAACGGCUACCACAUCCAAGGAUGGCAGCAGGCGCGCAAAUUACCCAAUCCCGACACGGGGAGGUAGUGACAAUAAAUAACAAUACGGGGUUCUUUCGGAUCUCGUAAUUGGAAUGAGUACAAUUUAAAUCUCUUAACGAGGAACAAUUGGAGGGCAAGUCUGGUGCCAGCAGCCGCGGUAAUUCCAGCUCCAAUAGCGUAUACUAAAGUUGUUGCAGUUAAAAAGCUCGUAGUUGAAUUUCGGGGUUAGUAGGUUGGUCAUGCCUCUGGUAUGUACUGAUCUCACUGAUUCCUCCUUCCUGAUGAACCGUAAUGCCAUUAAUUUGGUGUUGCGGGGAAUUUGGACUGUUACUUUGAAAAAAUUAGAGUGUUUAAAGCAAGCUAACGCUUGAAUACAUUGGCAUGGAAUAAUGAAAUAGGACGUUCGAUCCUAUUUUGUUGGUUUCUAGGAUUGACGUAAUGAUUAAUAGGGAUAGUUGGGGGCAUUAGUAUUCAAUUGUCAGAGGUGAAAUUCUUGGAUUUAUUGAAGACUAACUACUGCGAAAGCAUUUGCCAAGGAUGUUUUCAUUAAUCAAGAACGAAAGUUAGGGGAUCGAAGACGAUCAGAUACCGUCGUAGUCUUAACCAUAAACUAUGCCGACUAGGGAUCGGAUGA